UACGUAGGGUGCGAGCGUUGUCCGGAAUUAUUGGGCGUAAAGAGCUCGUAGGCGGCCUGUCGCGUCGGAUGUGAAAGCCCGGGGCUCAACCCCGGGUCUGCAUUCGAUACGGGCAGGCUAGAGUUCGGUAGGGGAGAUCGGAAUUCCUGGUGUAGCGGUGAAAUGCGCAGAUAUCAGGAGGAACACCGGUGGCGAAGGCGGAUCUCUGGGCCGAUACUGACGCUGAGGAGCGAUAGCGUGGGGAGCGAACAGG
rnacentral:rRNA from 1 species